ACUGGCUGACGAGUCCCAAAUGGGACGAAACGCGCAUCCUGGAU
rnacentral:hammerhead_ribozyme from 1 species